rnacentral:sRNA from 1 species
AGUCCUGCCAGGACGGCGUCAGUGAAGCACCUGGGUUGAGAGGGAGCAGCAGUGCUAUGGAUCUUCCUCAGAAGAACAUGAAGUUGCUUCUGUGGAACUGGUUAUCUGCCAUGGCCUCAACAAUCCAUAAUCCAGUCAUGGAGAGGAUUCCCCAUGGUCAGAAGUCAACUUGCACAUCUAGUUAAAGUCCAAGGUGGCGAUAUUUUCAAAGAAGCUGUACAAGCACUUCCAUGUGUUGAUAACAAAACACUGCCUACUGAUCUGCAUGAGACACUCCAUCUCAGAGUCUACUUCCUGAAGAAUUCAACAAGUAACAACUUGUACUAGGAACAAUCCAAAGAAGCAGGAGAUUCAUAGGGAUUUGGAAAAUAUGCUUAUUCACCAUCCAGCUAGCAAUAGGAUCGUAAUAUUUAAUUUGAUGGGUACAGAUAGACUCUGGUACAAAAUGGUAGUCUAGUUGUUAAAACUUCCACUA